UGCUCAAGGUCAUAUAGCAAGUAAAGGUCUGAGGCAGGAUUUAUAACCCACUUCUUCCUUGAUUCUAAAGAUUAUCCACUAUACUAUACUACCUUAAUUUGGCAUUCAAGACCCUCCAUAAUUUGGUCUAACUUCCAAAUUCUUCCUAAAUCCAGAAAAGUAUCUUGCUAAACAUCAUUUAAUUCCCUUUUCCAUCUCCUGGUUUGAACUCUAUUUCAUAUAGGCAGAUGUCUUUACUUUCCCCAACAUAGCUGCCCUUGCAUCUUUGCUCAUUUAUGUUUUUCCUUUCUCUUCUUAAAAUUUAAGUUAAAUUGUUGGGAUGAUUUCAGAGAGACCUGGAGAGACUUACAUGAACUGAUGCAAAGUGAAAUGAGCAGAACCAGAGAUCAUUGUACACGGCAACAAGAAGAUGAUAUGAUGAUCAAUUCUGAUAGAUGUGGCUCUCUUCAACAAUAAGAUCAUUCAAACCAGUUCCAGUUUUUCAGUGAUGAAGAGAGCCUUCUACACCCAGAGAGAGGAGACUGUGGGAAUAACAUAGCAUUUUCACACUUUCUGUUGAUGUUUGCUUGCAUUUUUGUUUUACUUCUCAGGUUUUUUUUUUUUCUAGGUCUGAUUUUUCUUGUGCAGCAAGAUAACUGUAUAAAUAUGUAAAUAUAUAUUGGAUUUAAUGUAUAAUUUAAUAUAUUUAACAUGUAUUAGACUACCUGCCAUCUAGGGGAGGGGAUGAGGGAAGGAGGGAAAAAUGUGGAACAGAAAGUUUUGCAAGGGUCAGUGUUGAAAAAUUACCCAUGCAUAUGUUUUGUAAAUAAAAAGCUUUGAUAAAAAAGAAAGAAAAAAUAUAAAAAAGUUAAAUUGUUGGUGGAACUGUGAACGGAUCCAGCCAUUCUGAGAACAAUUUAGAACCAUGCUGGAAAAGUUAUUAAACUGUGUAUAUCCUUUGAUCCAGCAGUGUUUCUUCUGAGCCUAUAUCCCAAAGAGAUCUUAAAGAAGGGAAAGGGACCCACAUGGGCAAAAAUGUUUGUGGCAGCUCUUUUCAUAGUGGCAAGAAAUUGGAAACUGAGUGGAUGCCCAUCAAUUGGAGAAUAGCUGAAUAAUUUGUAGUAUAUGAAUAUUAUGGAAUAUUGCUGUUCUAUAAGAAACUAUCAGCGGGAUGAUUUCAGAGAGGCCUGGAGAGACUUACAUGAUCUGAUGCAAAACCAGGAAAUCAUUGUACAUAGCAACAACAAUAUUAUAUGAUGAUCAGUUCUGAUUAUUGUGACUCUUUCCAACAAUGAGAUGAUUGAGGCCAGUUCCAAUGAUCUUGUGAUGAAGAGAGCCAUCUGUUAUGGGCCAGAACCUGAAACAAAGGCUGCUCCCAGAGAACCCCCAAAAACCCCAACAAGAGAACAUUACAUUUUAAAGAGAAUAUUACAUUUUGGCAUCCAAAUUGGGACAGACAUGAUCCUGAUUUCAGUGCAAAGGCCUCAAAUCCUGUCAGUGGAAAAAUCUCUGAUCUUCAUUUCAGUGGAAAAGUCUCCUUGACCCAGAAAUUAGGUUUUCUCCAACCAUUGCAAACUAGCACCAUUCUUCUAAACAAGCAACCCAUAGAAAAUGAUUGACAGGGAUAAUCGAGUAAUAGUUGAAGAAUAAGUUGAAAAGAAGUACAUUUGAAGAAAGAGUGGUGGAGAAAUUUAUUUAAGGAUUAGAAGAAGGCAUCUUAAGAGAGACAUAGUAAUAUAUUGGAAAGAACAUUGAAGAGAACUUCUGAAAAAAUGGCUGAUUUAAGAACUUUAUAUAAAUCCAGGUCCCUCUUAUUGCCUUAAAAUGUGCCAAAGAAAAGAAGAAUAACAAUGAAAAGAGAAGAAAGGAAGGACUUUCUCAAAAAGAAAUUGGAAUUUUAUAAGUUUCUUGCCCAAAUAAGCCCAAUAAAGAUAAGAUUAAAAAGGAAACGAUUGACUAGGAAAAAUCUUUGCUGAAAAUU